rnacentral:lncRNA from 13 species
GAGAGAAAUGUCAAACGCGUCCCUGCCUGGGUUUCCACCCUGAUGAUCAGGUCUGAUCCUGGGAGGCUGAACUGUGCAGAUGAGCUCAUUCACUAUCUCAGAGAGGACACAGCAACAAGGCAUCAUAUUAGAAGCAGAGACUGGGCUUCUGGCAGAGACAGUGAACCAGCCCAUGCCUUGACCUUGGACUUCCAACCUUCAGAACUGUAAAAAAUAAAUGUCUGUUCUUUCCAAGUUAUCCA